GCCUAGCCCUGAUGGAAGGGAAAAUCCUUUUUUGAUAAAACGCGAAGCAAGUUUUAUCAAUAAAGAUUACUUCACAGCAUUCUUAAUU
rnacentral:sRNA from 1 species